CUCUCUCUCGGCAUGGACACAAAAGAAAAGCCAUGUGAGGACACAGAGAGAAGGUGGCUGUCUACGAGCUAGGAAGAAAGGCCUCACCGGAAACCAACCCUCACAGCAGCUCCAUCUUGGACUUCCAGCCUCCGGAACUGUGAGAAAAUAAAUGUUUGCAAUUCAGGUCGGUUGUAUUUUGUGAAGGCCAUCCUAGCAAAUGAAUACUCCUAACAUUGUCUCUUUAAGAGCUCACCAGCCUGAGGUAGGAAUCAUUCCAUCUGUGUUACUAAUGAGACCGCUGAGGAUCAAAGGGGUUUUCCACCACAUCCACUCACCUCUACAUGGCGAAAACCAAGGGUUCACUCUCUGUCUUCAGGGAGCUCCACCCAGCAGCAGCGUUUGACAGAGCUGUUCACUUCCUCUUCCUGGAGCUGUGGCUUCCAGAGCCCAUGCUCAGCAGUUCCCCUCCUUCUUCGACUGCUCCUCUCUUAGGCUCAAAACCUGUAACAAUGCAUGGCACACGGAAGAUGUGAGAAUUUGCUGAAUAACUGAAUGGCACCAUGUUGCCUCACCUAAGGAUAAUGACUAAGAAUAGGAAAAAUUUACUGUGCAAAGAUCAGUUCUUAAUAGCUGUCUACAUCUCAGAACAAAAAAAAUUAGAUGUAAACCAUUGCACAAAGGAUUAGAUGAAAUUUUUUUGAAAAAUCAGACAUUGGAGGCUCAGAGCCACUCAGACAUUGGGAAGCAAGUUUGUCAAGAUGACAGAGAACCGAGGUAAUGGAUUCGAGUGAUGAAACAGGAAGUUCAUUCAUGAGUUUUUGGCCACACCUCCAAAGUGACGACUUAGCCAGAAAUGGGAUAACUGGGUUUCCCUACUUCUCUUUUAUCAUCCUCAAUGAGAGUGACCAAAUAUUAGAGCUAGAUGGAACCUUAGUGAAAAUCUGGCUACUCGUCCCGUCCCACCAGCCUGCCACCCAUUUCAAGUUUGAAGAGACAAAGACACAUGGACCUUAUGUAAUUACUGGGGAUUACCCCAGGAGUCUGUGGCAAAAGUCAGCUUCUUCCCUCCCUGCUUCCCCGCCCUGUCUCUGGUACUUUCUACCAACACUGGGCUGUUUCUGUGAUCACACUUAAGCGUACCUAACCUGCGAAUGCUGUAUAGAAGGUGCUAAUGAACAUGAUUUAGCUUUAACACUCAGUUUUCUAAAGGGACACGUGGGGGCAGCAAAUGUUUAG
rnacentral:lncRNA from 1 species